rnacentral:tRNA from 1 species
GCCAGUGUAGCUCAGUGGUGAGCAUCGAACUAUGAACAAGGAGGUCACGGGUUCGAUUCCCGGUCAAGGGCA